GUUAAGUUUACUCAACCAAUUAUUCAGCUAUUUCUCCCAUUUUUCUAUUUCUUCUGUUUUUCCAUUAGCGCCUCUCUCGUCACGUAGGUAGAAUAGCAUUUAAUUUAAGAAUCAGGCACAUUAAAAUGGCGUUAAUUUCCUGUUUCGAAGAGCAAAAGGCGAGCAAGCGGACUGAAAUUUAGCCCGACCAUUGAGGUCUUCAGGCAGCCCCGAAUCUGAAGUAAUGUACUCCAUGUCUGAAAACGAGUCAUUUGACAAGACAUUUGACAUCCGCUAUUAGCUUCAUUUGAUUAGCUUAACAACCCAGCUAACUUUGAAUUUCAACUAACUUCAUACUGAAUUCUUGCUAGUUUUUAAACUUACUACAAAACACUCAAUACGACAGUUAGCUGAUUCAAGAAGCAAGGCGAUGUUGAACUAUCUGAAUCAAAUAUCUCUUCUGCAACAACCGACCAAUUACCCUGCAUAUUUGAGCCUGGUACAGAAUUGUCCUCAGACUGUGGUUCAAAACGGCACCCUGUCCUCCCCACCCCCCCCUUCUUCCAACAACAUUCCAAACCAGAUAACAGGGAUAAAAUUACCUCCAUCGCCAAUUCCGGAGCCGAGCAAUCUUCAAAUCCGAAACAAUUCCUCCCCAACUCAAGCUCAACAACUUCGCCAACGAAUUAAUCACACUAACAACUGCAACUCCUCCGGCGUGGGUUCGGGUCUCGGCCUACUCCCCACACCAGCUUCAAUGCUUCUCUGUUCUUCUCAGUCAACAGUUAAUAAUGGACCAAAUGUACAGGCACUGCAGCUGGGUAAAAUGCAGAUGGCACUUCAGGGGUCAAAUUGCUCUUCGUCAUCAGUGUUGGGAGGGCCAAAUGGGACUCUGACGUCAGCAAGAGUUCAUGCCUCAAAUCUGACCGGUGCUCCAUGCAUAAUGCCAACAGACUCGUCAUCACUCGGAGGAACCAUCAGCGGAACAGCGACGCCCAUCGCCACGACCAACCUCCCCAACCACCACCCCCUGCAUCAUCUCUUUACCCACCCCUCCAUAACGGCUUCUCUACCCCACAUGCAACAGAUGAUAGAUCCCAGUCAGUUUCAGAAUGGGGCGAGUUUGGGGGGUCUCUUGGGGCAGAAUCCUGCCUCAAUAGUGGGUGGGACACUGGGAGGAGUGGGAUCAAAUCCUCUGGUGGAUCAGCUGCUGGUGAAUGCAGCACAAGCAUAUCAAACCCAACUUGCCAUCAAUGGUGGAAUGAGCUUCCUAAUGCCCAACACAAGCGCCCCCACCCCUUUCUCCACCUUGGACGCCCUGCAACUAGCAGCUCUGGGGGGUCUCCUACCACCCCCCACUCCCUCAGGACUCUCCAAGAGCAAACACGAGAAGCAGCGAGAGGGUCCGGAAGGGGCUAAUCUGUUCAUAUACCACUUGCCCGCAGACUUCACAGACGACGAUCUGGUGCAGACAUUCUCCCCCUUUGGGAAACUCAUUAGUGCCAAAGUGUUCAUCGACAAAAACACCAACCUCAGCAAAUGCUUCGGUUUCGUAAGCUACGAGACACCCCUGCAGGCAGAGGAGGCCAUCAGGGCCAUGAAUGGGUGUCAGAUCUCGAACAAAAGACUCAAGGUGCAACACAAGAAACUCAAGAGCAGCAGCGCCACCUCAUCUUCGUCCAACAGCGGCGACAAGCCAUACUAAUUUCACCAUGGUCACAUAAAGAGAGCUAUAAGGGACACGAAGAAUAAGAGCGAAGCUACUAUCAUGCUAAAGUUUGUGUCUGCCUAUCUGUUCAUCACAACUUGCUCAACAUUCCUCUUCAAUGUUCAUUCACGUGUGUAGCUCAAUCUUAAAAAACAUCCGUUUAAAGAAUACAAAUCUACCUUAUAAGAUCAGAAAACGAUCUACAAUCGUGAACUCUGCUUUAUAAAUGGUAACUCAUAACGAAGGAUGUUUUUGUCUUAGAAAAAGUUUAGAUGAUACAUGUUUUUGUUGCAACUAUGUUGAAAUGUUGAAUAGAGUUUUUGUAUAUCAAAUUGUAUGCGAAAACUUAUGUUUACGCUUUCUGUGCAAUAUGUGUACGGCUUUUCUUUAUUUUAGCAAUCUUCAAAUUAUCUGGAUCAUUGAUCAUCAUUCCAUUAAUUAAUUUGUAGUUCCAGUAAUUUGUAAAUCAAAAUUAACAAGCUA